CUACGGGAGGCAGCAGUGGGGAAUCUUGCGCAAUGGCCGAAAGGCUGACGCAGCGACGCCGCGUGGAGGAUGACGCCCUUCGGGGUGUAAACUCCUGUUGCCCGGGACGAAUACCUGUUUCGACAGGGGUGACGGUACCGGGUGAGGAAGCACCGGCUAACUCUGUGCCAGCAGCCGCGGUAAUACAGAGGGUGCGAGCGUUGUCCGGAAUCACUGGGCGUAAGGGCGCGUAGGUGGCGCGGUAAGCGUGUGGUGAAAGUCCGGGGCUCAACCCCGGAUCGGCCAUGCGAACUGCCGCGCUGGAGCACGGUAGAGGCACAUGGAAUUCCGGGUGUAGCGGUGGAAUGCGUAGAGAUCCGGAAGAACACCGGUGGCGAAGGCGGUGUGCUGGGCCGUUGCUGACACUGAGGCGCGACAGCGUGGGGAGCAAACAGGAUUAGAAACCCCAGUAGUC
rnacentral:rRNA from 1 species